rnacentral:rRNA from 1 species
GACGAACGCUGGCGGCGCGCCUAACACAUGCAAGUCGAACGGAGCUGAGAGAAGCUUGCUUUUCUUAGCUUAGUGGCGAACGGGUGAGUAACGCGUGAGUAACCUGCCCUGGAGUGGGGGACAACAGUUGGAAACGACUGCUAAUACCGCAUAAGCCCACGAUCCGGCAUCGGAUUGAGGGAAAAGGAUUUAUUCGCUUCAGGAUGGACUCGCGUCCAAUUAGCUAGUUGGUGAGGUAACGGCCCACCAAGGCGACGAUUCGUAGCCGGACUGAGAGGUUGAACGGCCACAUUGGGACUGAGACACGGCCCAGACUCCUACGGGAGGCAGCAGUGGGGGAUAUUGCACAAUGGGGGAAACCCUGAUGCAGCGACGCCGCGUGGAGGAAGAAGGUUUUCGGAUUGUAAACUCCUGUCGUUAGGGACGAUAAUGACGGUACCUAACAAGAAAGCACCGGCUAACUACGUG